rnacentral:rRNA from 1 species
CCUACGGGAGGCUGCAGUGGGGAAUAUUGGACAAUGGGCGAAAGCCUGAUCCAGCCAUGCCGCGUGUGUGAAGAAGGCCUUCGGGUUGUAAAGCACUUUCAGUGGGGAAGAAAGCCUUGGGGCUAAUACCCUCGAGGAAGGACAUCACCCACAGAAGAAGCACCGGCUAACUCCGUGCCAGCAGCCGCGGUAAUACGGAGGGUGCGAGCGUUAAUCGGAAUUACUGGGCGUAAAGCGCGCGUAGGCGGUCUGAUAAGCCGGGUGUGAAAGCCCCGGGCUCAACCUGGGAACGGCAUCCGGAACUGUCAGGCUAGAGUGCAGGAGAGGAAGGUAGAAUUCCCGGUGUAGCGGUGAAAUGCGUAGAGAUCGGGAGGAAUACCAGUGGCGAAGGCGGCCUUCUGGACUGACACUGACGCUGAGGUGCGAAAGCGUGGGUAGCAAACAGGAUUAGAUACCCUUGUAGUC